rnacentral:rRNA from 1 species
GACGAACGCUGGCGGCGCGCCUAACACAUGCAAGUCGAACGAGAGAGAGGGAGCUUGCUCCCUUGAUUGAGUGGCGAACGGGUGAGUAACGCGUGAGGAACCUGCCUCAAAGAGGGGGACAACAGUUGGAAACGACUGCUAAUACCGCAUAAGCCCACGGCUCGGCAUCGAGCAGAGGGAAAAGGAGUGAUCCGCUUUGAGAUGGCCUCGCGUCCGAUUAGCUAGUUGGUGAGGUAACGGCCCACCAAGGCGACGAUCGGUAGCCGGACUGAGAGGUUGAACGGCCACAUUGGGACUGAGACACGGCCCAGACUCCUACGGGAGGCAGCAGUGGGGAAUAUUGCACAAUGGGGGGAAACCCUGAUGCAGCGACGCCGCGUGGAGGAAGAAGGUCUUCGGAUUGUAAACUCCUGUUGUUGAGGAAGAUAAUGACGGUACUCAACAAGGAAGUGACGGCUAACUACGUG